rnacentral:snRNA from 1 species
GUGCUUGCUUCGGCAGCACAUAUACUAAGACUGGAACAAUACAGAGAGGAUUAGCAUGGCCCUUGUGCAAGGAUGACACGCAAAUUCGUGAACCAUUCCAUAUUUAA